rnacentral:rRNA from 1 species
AGAGUUUGAUCCUGGCUCAGAAUCAACGCUGGCGGCGUGCCUAACACAUGCAAGUCGAACGAGAAAGUGGAGCAAUCCAUGAGUACAGUGGCGACCGGGUGAGUAACACGUGACUACCUACUUGAGUGGGGGAUAACCCCGGGAAACCGGGGCUAAUACCGCAUAACAUCGAGAGAUCAAAGGAGCAAUCCGCUCUUGGA